rnacentral:tRNA from 1 species
GCCCAGCUAGCUCAGUCGGUAGAGCAUAAGACUCUUAAUCUCAGGGUUGUGGAUUUGUGCCCCAUGCUGGGUG